UACGGAGGAUGCAAGCGUUAUCCGGAAUGAUUGGGCGUAAAGGGUCCGCAGGUGGCAGUGUAAGUCUGCUGUCAAAGAAUGAGGCUUAACCUCAUCAAGGCAGUGGAAACUACACAGCUAGAGUACGGUCGGGGUAGAAGGAAUUCCUGGUGUAGCGGUGAGAUGCGUAGAGAUCAGGAAGAACACCGGUGGCGAAAGCGUUCUGCUAGACCUGUACUGACACUGAGGGACGAAAGCUGGGGGAGCGAACGGG
rnacentral:rRNA from 1 species